rnacentral:rRNA from 1 species
UGCGUAGGCGGUUUAUUAAGUCAGUGGUGAAAGACGGUCGCUCAACGAUUGCAGUGCCAUUGAUACUGGUAGACUUGAGUGUGAUUGAGGUAGCUGGAAUGGAUAGUGUAGCGGUGAAAUGCAUAGAUAUUAGGAGGAACACCAGUGGCGAAGGCGACUUACUGGACAGAUACUGACGCUGAGGCGCGAAAGCGUGGGGAGCAAACAGGAUUAGAUACCCCAGUA